rnacentral:rRNA from 1 species
ACAAGCGGUGGAGUAUGUGGUUUAAUUCGACGCAACGCGAAGAACCUUACCAGGUCUUGACAUCUCCUGCCAGUCUACGAAAGUAGAUGUUUAUCUUCGGAUAACAGGAAGACAGGUGGUGCAUGGUUGUCGUCAGCUCGUGUCGUGAGAUGUUGGGUUAAGUCCCGCAACGAGCGCAACCCCUGUGGUUAGUUGCCAGCAAGUAGCGUUGGGCACUCUAGCCAGACUGCCGGUGAUAAAUCGGAGGAAGGUGGGGACGACGUCAAAUCAUCAUGCCCUUUAUGUCCUGGGCUACACACGUACUACAAUGGCCGUUACAACGGGAAGCGAAGGAGCAAUCCGGAGCAAAUCCCUUAAAGGCGGUCCCAGUUCAGAUUGUGGGCUGAAACUCGCCCACAUGAAGGCGGAAUUGCUAGUAAUUGCAGAUCAGCAUGCUGCAGUGAAUACGUUCCCGGGCCUU